UACGAAGGGGGCUAGCGUUGCUCGGAAUCACUGGGCGUAAAGCGCACGUAGGCGGACUCUUAAGUCGGUGGUGAAAUCCUGGAGCUCAACUCCAGAACUGCCUCCGAUACUGGGAGCCUUCGAGUCCGGGAGAGGUGAGUGGAACUGCGAGUGUAGAGGUGAAAUUCGUAGAUAUUCGCAAGAACACCAGUGGCGAAGGCGGCUCACUGGCCCGGUACUGACGCUGAGGAGCGAAAGCGUGGGGAGCGAACAGG
rnacentral:rRNA from 1 species